GACGAACGCUGGCGGCGUGCUUAACACAUGCAAGUCGAACGGUGACCCUCGGAGCUUGCUUCGGGGUGAACAGUGGCGAACGGGUGAGUAACACGUGAGUAACCUGCCCCUGACUCUGGAAUAAGCGCUGGAAACGGCGUCUAAUACCGGAUACGACACGCCUCCGCAUGGGGAGCGUGUGGAAAGUUUUUCGGUCUGGGAUGGACUCGCGGCCUAUCAGCUUGUUGGUGAGGUAAUGGCUCACCAAGGCGAUGACGGGUAGCCGGCCUGAGAGGGCGACCGGCCACACUGGGACUGAGACACUGCCCAGACUCCUACGGGAGGCAGCAGUGGGGAAUAUUGCACAAUGGGCGAAAGCCUGAUGCAGCGACGCCGCGUGAGGGAUGACGGCCUUCGGGUUGUAAACCUCUUUCAGUACCGACGAAGCGCAAGUGACGGUAGGUACAGAAGAAGCACCGGCCAACUACGUGCCAGCCGCCGCGGUAAGAC
rnacentral:rRNA from 1 species